UAACGCGCAGGCGUCCGGUGGAAACUGCCUGGCUUGGGACCGGAAGACCAGAGGGGGUACGUCUGGGGUAGGAGUGAAAUCCCGUAAUCCUAGACGGACCACCGGUGGCGAAAGCGCCUCUGGAAGACGGAUCCGACGGUGAGGGACGAAAGCUCGGGUCACGAACCGGAUUAGAUACCCGGGUAGUCCGAGCUGUAAACGAUGUCUGCUAGGUGUGACACAGGCUACGAGCCUGUGUUGUGCCGUAGGGAAGCCGUGAAGCAGACCGCCUGGGAAGUACGUCCGCAAGGAUGAAACUUAAAGGAAUUGGCGGGGGAGCACUACAACCGGAGGAGCCUGCGGUUUAAUUGGACUCAACGCCGGACAUCUCACCAGCAUCGACAGUGUGCAGUGACGGUCAGUGUGAUGAGCUUACCUGAGCCACUGAGAGGAGGUGCAUGGCCGCCGUCAGCUCGUACCGUGAGGCGUCCUGUUAAGUCAGGCAACGAGCGAGACCCGCACCAUUAAUUGCCAGCAACACCCUUGUGGUGGUUGGGUACAUUAAGAGGACUGCCAGUGCCAAACUGGAGGAAGGAACGGGCAACGGUAGGUCAGUAUGCCCCGAAUGUGCUGGGCGACACGCGGGCUACAAUGGUCGAGACAGUGGGAUGCAACAACGAAAGGCGACGCUAAUCUCCGAAGCUCGAUCGUAGUUC
rnacentral:rRNA from 1 species